rnacentral:lncRNA from 1 species
CAGGGAGGUCUCAAGUAACCAGAUUUUUAGAAUCCGGCUGCCAUGCUGUGAAGAGGCCUGACAGUCACGUAGAGGGGCUCACCUGGAAGAGCGGUAUGGCCUGCACUGGUCUGCCCAGCUGAGCUUCCAGCCAGCACCAACUGCCAGUUGUGCGAAUGAGACCAUUUUGACACCUUAGCUGUCCUGAGCCUCACUUAGCAUCACACCAAACAGAAAAACUGCCACGUGAACCCACAGAAUCAUGAAAGUAAUAAAUUGCCAUUUGGGCUUGUUUGUUUUGGUGUCAUAAAUAAACAAAGUAGGCUAUGAAGGGGGACAUUAGGAAUACUCCUUACAAAAAGGGUUGUUAAAUCUGAUAUUAUUGGGGAAUUUCCCUGAUGGGUCCAGUGACUAAGAUUCCAUACUGCCAAUGCAGGGGGCCUGGGUUCAAUCCCUGAUCAGGGAACUAAAUCUCACAUGCUGCAACUCAGACCUGGCACAGCAAAUUUAACUAAUUAAUUAAAAAUCUGAUAUUGUUGAGAAUUACUGUCACAGAUAGCAAAUGCUUUACAAUUAGAAUGUUUAAAAGAUUCAGUAACUUGAAAAAAUGUAUUUUCUAACUGAAGAUAAUUUGGAUUAAAAAAUUUAUCAAUUCCUGGAUUUAACAAGAGAACCAAUAAGCCAGAAACUUGCUACAGCCAUGUUUGACUUUUUCUUAUUUCCUCUCAUUUUUUUUUUAAGUGAUAAGUUAAUUAUUCUCUACUGUGCUCAUUCACUUCAGUCUUGUCCGACUCUUUGCGACCCCAUGGACAUAGCCCAUUAGGUUCCUCUGGCAAGAAUACUUCUAGGGAUCAAGGGAUCUUCCUGACCCAGGUAUCAAACCCAUGUCUUGCGUCUCCUGCAUUGCAGGUGGAUUCUUUACCACUGAGCCACCUACUGGAAGACAGAAGAACACAGGCAGGGUAAGCUGUAGGUCUAAUUUCUUUUCGAGCAAGAGAGACAGAGCGAGAAAGAGAAACAUGAAGAUAAUGGAUCUUGAAGAAGGGUGCCAUCAAGUGGGGAAAAUGGCAAAAGAAUGGCAAAAACAUUGACCAUGAAUUUCAUCUACUUUACAGUUUACUUGGGACUGAAUGUUGUCUCCAUUAAAAAAAAAAAAAAAAAUCCAUCCUAGUAGUUAAUCAGACUUACCUGCAGACAACUUGAAGGGGACAAAAGAGAAAUGGGUGUAGUUAUGUUUUUAAAAAAAAAACACUUAGAAAAUCAUGCUUUACAAAUAAUGAGCACAAAUCCUUCUUGUUAAUCAUGGUGGAUUGGGUGAAUGCAUUUAUUUGUGUUCCCUCUGUAAACCAUACUCAAAGGAUAUUAAAGGAUUAAAAAAGAACAAACCCACCAGAACUAAGAGAAUGGGAGGAAAUGACGACAGACAAAAGAUGUCAACAAAGACUGAACAAGUGGAGGAGUGAUACCUGAUUCAGCAGUAUGAAUAAGGUGGAAACCCUAGACUGCUGGUAGAGAGCCAACUUCUGUCUGCAGAACCCUAGAAAGCCCCAGGAAUUUGCAGGAAGUAGGAGUCUCGGGGGUCCUGAAGUGGCACCAACAUUCACAGACUUCCUUGAGAGACUCUACUUGGACUUCUAGGGCAGGUCAGCCACCUCUCCCCAACCCUUCAGAAGACUGGCUGU